AGCAGCCGCGGUAAUUCCAGCUCCAAUAGCGUAUAUUAAAGUUGUUGCAGUUAAAAAGCUCGUAGUUGAAUUUCGGGGUUAGUAGGUUGGUCAUGCCUCUGGUAUGUACUGGUCUCACUGAUUCCUCCUUCCUGAUGAGCCGUAAUGCCAUUAAUUUGGUGUUGCGGGGAAUUUGGACUGUUACUUUGAAAAAUUAGAGUGUUUAAAGCAAGCUAACGCUUGAAUACAUUAGCAUGGAAUAAUGAAAUAGGACGUUCGAUCCUAUUUUGUUGGUUUCUAGGAUUGACGUAAUGAUUAAUAGGGAUAGUUGGGGGCAUUAGUAUUCAAUUGUCAGAGGUGAAAUUCUUGGAUUUAUUGAAGACUAACUACUGCGAAAGCAUUUGCCAAGGAUGUUUUCAUUAAUCAAGAACGAAAGUUAGGGGAUCGAAGACGAUCAGAUACCGUCGUAGUCUUAACCAUAAACUAUGCCGACUAGGGAUCGGAUGAUGUUAAUUUUUA
rnacentral:misc_RNA from 1 species